rnacentral:rRNA from 1 species
GACGAACGCUGGCGGCGUGCUUACCCCCUGCAAGUCGAACGGAAAGGCCCUGCUUUUGUGGGGUGCUCGAGUGGCGAACGGGUGAGUAACACGUGAGUAACCUGCCCUUGACUUUGGGAUAACUUCAGGAAACUGGGGCUAAUACCGGAUAGGAGCUCCUGCUGCAUGGUGGGGGUUGGAAAGUUUCGGCUGUUGGGGAUGGACUCGCGGCUUAUCAGCUUGUUGGUGGGGUAGUGGCUUACCAAGGCUUUGACGGGUAGCCGGCCUGGGAGGGUGAACGGCGACCAUGGGACUGAGAGAGGGCGCAGUCUCGUACGGGAGGCAGCAGUGGGGAAUAUUGCACAAUGGGCGGAAGCGUGAUGCGGAAACGCCGCGUGCGGGAUGACGGCCUUCGGGUUGUAAACCGCUUUAGCCUGUGACGAAGCGUGAGUGACGGUAAUGGGUGAAGAAGCACCGGCUAACUACGUG